GGAGAGAUGGCAGAGUGGACGAUUGUGCCUGACUCGAAAUCAGGUGUGGAGGUAACUCCACCGAGGGUUCGAAUCCCUCUCUCUCCGCCA
rnacentral:tRNA from 1 species